UGAUGGAAUUGACAUGUAACU
rnacentral:piRNA from 1 species